UACAGAGGGGGCAAGCGUUAUUCGGAAUUAUUGGGCGUAAAGGGCGCGUAGGCGGCCUGGCAAGUGGAAGGUGAAAUCCCUCGGCUUAACCGAGGAACUGCCCUCCAAACUGCUUGGCUUGAGUCCGGGAGAGGUGAGUGGAAUUCCCAGUGUAGCGGUGAAAUGCGUAGAUAUUGGGAGGAACACCAGUGGCGAAGGCGGCUCACUGGACCGGAACUGACGCUGAGGCGCGAAAGCGUGAGGAGCAAACAGG
rnacentral:rRNA from 1 species